rnacentral:rRNA from 1 species
GAUGAACGCUGGCGGCGUGCCUAAUACAUGCAAGUAGAGCGAAGCGGGGACGGGUGAGUAACACGUGGAUAACCCCCCAUAAGACUGGGAUAACUUCGGGAAACCGUAGCUAAACCGGAUACUUAAAGAUGGAUCCGCGCUGCAUUAGCUAUUUGCUAAGGUAACGGCUUACCAAGGCAACGAUGCAUAGCCGACCUGAGAGGGUGUUGGGCCAUACUGUGACGGAGACUCGGUCCAGACUACUACGUGGCGAAGCAGUAGGGUAUCUGCCGCAAUGGGCGAAAGGCUGACAGAGCAACGCCGCGUGAGUGAUGAAGGUGUUCGGAUCGUAAACCUCUGUUAUUAGGGAAGCGGGACCUAAUCAGAAAGCCACGGCUAACUACGUGCCAGCAGCCGCGGUAAGUC